rnacentral:rRNA from 1 species
GGAGGAAAAGAAACUAACAAGGAUUCCCCUAGUAACGGCGAGUGAAGCGGGAAGAGCUCAAAUUUAAAAUCUGGCAGGCUACGCUUGUCCGAAUUGUAAUCUCGAGAAGUGUUUUCCGCGUUGGCCUGUGUACAAGUCCCUUGGAACAGGGCGUCAUAGAGGGUGAGAAUCCCGUCCUUGACACAGAUACCCAAUGCUUUGUGAUACACUCUCAAUGAGUCGAGUUGUUUGGGAAUGCAGCUCAAAAUGGGUGGUAAAUUCCAUCUAAAGCUAAAUACUGGCGAGAGACCGAUAGCGAACAAGUACCGUGAGGGAAAGAUGAAAAGCACUUUGGAAAGAGAGUCAAACAGUACGUGAAAUUGUUGAAAGGGAAACGAUUGAAGUCAGUCGUGCCUGCCUAGUCUCAGCCUUUUGGUGUACUACUAGGCCGGCAGGUCAGCAUCAGUUUGGGAGGAUUAACAAGGGAGUUAGGAAUGUGGCAACCUCGGUUGUGUUAUAGCCUAGCUUCGCAUUGAUCUUGCUGGACUGAGGAACGCAGUGCGCCCGCAAGGGUUGGUCUUCGGACACAUUCGCACUUAGGAUGCUGGCAUAAUGGCUUUAAACGACCCGUCUUGAA